CCUGCCUAUCGGUCGGUCGUGAUUGCGGACGCCUUCGCUGAGACUAACUACAUGCACACGAUGGGCUUCAGACCUAUCAGCUAGAUGGUAAGGUAUAGGCUUACCAUGGCCAUGACGGGUACAGAGGAUUAGGGUUUGAUCCUGGAGAGGUAGCCUGAGAAAUCGCUCCCACUUCUAAGGAAGGCAGC
rnacentral:rRNA from 1 species